AUGGAUGGAAAAUAUCAGGCUCUGUUUUCCGGGAUUGGUAAGCAAAGGGACGAUGGUUCAGGUAGAGGUAAAGGAUGUGGUAGUGGUACUGCAAAAUCAUGGCAGCGAAAGGGGGAUUGGCUGUGUCCAAAUACAAGAUGUGAGAAUGUAAAUUUUGCAUUCCGAGGUGUCUGUAAUCGCUGUCGGGCAGCACGUCCUACUGAUGUUAGUGCAAUGGGGACAACUAAAAAUGAUGGAAAAUCUCAGACUAUUACUGUCGAAAUGACUACUGAUGAGUUGAAGAAGUGGCUUCGGUUCAAGGAAGGAAUCAUUGAUGAAAGGUCAACAACCAAGAUAUUUGCUACAUCUGCUAACCCCUGUGGUAAUACUUCGAAAUUUGUGAAAGGAAGUUAUUUUGAGACUGGUACACAGUGGUUAAUAGACUCUGGUGCGUCUAAACAUAUGGCCGGUUCAUAUAAGGAUUUCUGCAGUUAUACUCCUGAUUUUACAGGGCAAAAUGUUAGACUUGCUGAUGGUUCUGGCCAGAGUAUUAAGGGAGUAGGCAUAGUUAAAUGUUACCCAAAUAUGACUCUAUCAUCUGUUUUACAUGUUCCCUCAUUCCCAAUCAAUUUGCUAUCCAUCAGCUGCAUUACAGGAGAACUUAAUUGUGCUGUAAUCUUCUUCCCAACAUGGUGUUUAUUCCUGGAACUUGGGACUUGGAAAAUCCUUGGGACAGGAAUUAUGCGAGGUGGUCUAUACUACUUGGAUGAUGAUAUGGCACCUAUGGCUGCUGCUGUGCUGUCUCAGUCACCAUUGGAAGAAUUUCUUCUUCAUCAUCGCAGGCUGGGACACAUAUCCUUUAACACCCUGGAUCUGGACAACGAGAUAGGGGGAGAUAAAGGUGAAGAAUAUAAUGAAGCAGCAUCCAGGAAUAUGAUUGUUGGAGUGAUUCCAGCUGCAGAUAUGUAUGACGAUGAAGAUGAAGGUACAUCAGAAGCUGAACAGAAACGGACACAGGGGGAGCUACGAGAUGAAUCAAAUGAAGCUGUUAAGUGGCCUAAACCAAAUGAAGAACAAGAAGUUCAGGUGUAUAAAAGGAGACAGUGGCCUAAACCAAAUGAAGAACAAGAAGUUCAGGUGUAUAAAAGGAGAAACCGAUCUGAGAAGGAAGUUAUUCCAUCUAGGUGUGAUCAUGAAGCUCAAGAAGCUCCUGCAAUACAAGCACAAGAAACCUUGCCAAGUGUGACAUAA
rnacentral:rRNA from 1 species